CUUUCCCCACAUGAUGAGAUGCUGUGAUUGUUACCGGACCCUUUAUUAUUUAACUCAGGAUUUUAUCAUCAACCACAUCAUCUUAUUCACCAUUUUGGAUAUAUAUAAAGAUUAAAAUUUCUAACAGUUGUUUCGGAUUCUUGUGUAAUCAGAUAAAUGGGGCAAAUGUCAGAACAAAGAUUGUUCAGUGCUGCUGGUAGGGCAAGGAUGAUGAUGGUGAGGAAGAUUGUUCACAAGCCAAGUAGAGCCCUCCAUUUUGAGAAAUAUCAUCCUCAAAUUUGAAUUGUUGAGCAUAUGAAGUGAUGCUAAAGCCUUAAUAUUAAGUCUUUCUGAAAGUUUCAUUUGAAUGAAUUUUCGGAGAUUGAAUGUUCUUAGAGUGAGUAAGAAAAUUAAGCACAUAUCUGCGAUUUGGGUCGUCGGUGAAUGUUUUCCUUUAAUAUUUGUACACACCCAUUUCUUAGUAAAAUUUUCUUCAUGUCUUUUACUAUGACAUAGGCUAAUAGCCGUACCAUAUAAC
rnacentral:lncRNA from 1 species